rnacentral:rRNA from 1 species
GGGUUGUGAGGUUAAGCGACUAAGCGUACACGGUGGAUGCCCUGGCAGUCAGAGGCGAUGAAGGGCGUGCUAAUCUGCGAUAAGCGCCGGUAAGGUGAUAUGAACCGUUAUAACCGGCGAUACCCGAAUGGGGAAACCCAGUGUGACUCGUCACACUAUCAUUAACUGAAUCCAUAGGUUAAUGAGGCGAACCGGGGGAACUGAAACAUCUAAGUACCCCGAGGAAAAGAAAUCAACCGAGAUUCCCCCAGUAGCGGCGAGCGAACGGGGAGGAGCCCAGAGCCUGAAUCAGCAUGUGUGUUAGUGGAAGCGUCUGGAAAGGCGCGCGAUACAGGGUGACAGCCCCGUACACAAAAGCGCAUGUGCUGUGAGCUCGAUGAGUAGGGCGGGACACGUGGUAUCCUGUCUGAAUAUGGGGGGACCAUCCUCCAAGGCUAAAUACUCCUGACUGACCGAUAGUGAACCAGUACCGUGAGGGAAAGGCGAAAAGAACCCCGGCGAGGGGAGUGAAAAAGAACCUGAAACCGUGUACGUACAAGCAGUGGGAGCACAGGUUUACCUGUGUGACUGCGUACCUUUUGUAUAAUGGGUCAGCGACUUAUAUUCUGUAGCAAGGUUAACCGAAUAGGGGAGCCGGAGGGAAACCGAGUCUUAAUUGGGCGUUAAGUUGCAGGGUAUAGACCCGAAACCCGGUGAUCUAGCCAUCGGCAGGUUGAAGGUUGGGUAACACUAACUGGAGGACCGAACCGACUAAUGUUGAAAAAUUAGCGGAUGACCUGUGGCUGGGGGUGAAAGGCCAAUCAAACCGGGAGAUAGCUGGUUCUCCCCGAAAGCUAUUUAGGUAGCGCCUCGUGAACUCAUCUCCGGGGGUAGAGCACUGUUUCGGCUAGGGGGCCAUCCCGGCUUACCAACCCGAUGCAAACUGCGAAUACCGGAGAAUGUUAUCACGGGAGACACACGGCGGGUGCUAACGUCCGUCGUGAAGAGGGAAACAACCCAGACCGCCAGCUAAGGUCCCAAAGUCAUGGUUAAGUGGGAAACGAUGUGGGAAGGCCCAGACAGCCAGGAUGUUGGCUUAGAAGCAGCCAUCAUUUAAAGAAAGCGUAAUAGCUCACUGGUCGAGUCGGCCUGCGCGGAAGAUGUAACGGGGCUAAACCAUGCACCGAAGCUGCGGCAGCGACACUGUGUGUUGUUGGGUAGGGGAGCGUUCUGUAAGCCUGUGAAGGUGGCCUGUGAGGGUUGCUGGAGGUAUCAGAAGUGCGAAUGCUGACAUAAGUAACGAUAAAGCGGGUGAAAAGCCCGCUCGCCGGAAGACCAAGGGUUCCUGUCCAACGUUAAUCGGGGCAGGGUGAGUCGACCCCUAAGGCGAGGCCGAAAGGCGUAGUCGAUGGGAAACAGGUUAAUAUUCCUGUACUUGGUGUUACUGCGAAGGGGGGACGGAGAAGGCUAUGUUGGCCGGGCGACGGUUGUCCCGGUUUAAGCGUGUAGGUGUGUGUUCCAGGUAAAUCCGGUUCACUUUAACACUGAGGCGUGAUGACGAGGCACUACGGUGCUGAAGCAACAAAUGCCCUGCUUCCAGGAAAAGCCUCUAAGCAUCAGGUAACAUCAAAUCGUACCCCAAACCGACACAGGUGGUCAGGUAGAGAAUACCAAGGCGCUUGAGAGAACUCGGGUGAAGGAACUAGGCAAAAUGGUGCCGUAACUUCGGGAGAAGGCACGCUGACACGUAGGUGAAGUGAUUUACUCAUGGAGCUGAAGUCAGUCGAAGAUACCAGCUGGCUGCAACUGUUUAUUAAAAACACAGCACUGUGCAAACACGAAAGUGGACGUAUACGGUGUGACGCCUGCCCGGUGCCGGAAGGUUAAUUGAUGGGGUCAGCGCAAGCGAAGCUCCUGAUCGAAGCCCCGGUAAACGGCGGCCGUAACUAUAACGGUCCUAAGGUAGCGAAAUUCCUUGUCGGGUAAGUUCCGACCUGCACGAAUGGCGUAAUGAUGGCCAGGCUGUCUCCACCCGAGACUCAGUGAAAUUGAACUCGCUGUGAAGAUGCAGUGUACCCGCGGCAAGACGGAAAGACCCCGUGAACCUUUACUAUAGCUUGACACUGAACAUUGAGCCUUGAUGUGUAGGAUAGGUGGGAGGCUUUGAAGCGUGGACGCCAGUCUGCGUGGAGCCGACCUUGAAAUACCACCCUUUAAUGUUUGAUGUUCUAACGUGGACCCGUUACCCGGGUUGCGGACAGUGUCUGGUGGGUAGUUUGACUGGGGCGGUCUCCUCCUAAAGAGUAACGGAGGAGCACGAAGGUUGGCUAAUCCUGGUCGGACAUCAGGAGGUUAGUGCAAUGGCAUAAGCCAGCUUGACUGCGAGCGUGACGGCGCGAGCAGGUGCGAAAGCAGGUCAUAGUGAUCCGGUGGUUCUGAAUGGAAGGGCCAUCGCUCAACGGAUAAAAGGUACUCCGGGGAUAACAGGCUGAUACCGCCCAAGAGUUCAUAUCGACGGCGGUGUUUGGCACCUCGAUGUCGGCUCAUCACAUCCUGGGGCUGAAGUAGGUCCCAAGGGUAUGGCUGUUCGCCAUUUAAAGUGGUACGCGAGCUGGGUUUAGAACGUCGUGAGACAGUUCGGUCCCUAUCUGCCGUGGGCGCUGGAGAACUGAGGGGGGCUGCUCCUAGUACGAGAGGACCGGAGUGGACGCAUCACUGGUGUUCGGGUUGUCAUGCCAAUGGCACUGCCCGGUAGCUAAAUGCGGAAGAGAUAAGUGCUGAAAGCAUCUAAGCACGAAACUUGCCCCGAGAUGAGUUCUCCCUGAGACUUAGAGUCUCCUGAAGGAACGUUGAAGACGACGACGUUGAUAGGCCGGGUGUGUAAGCGCAGCGAUGCGUUGAGCUAACCGGUACUAAUGAACCGUGAGGCUUAACCUUACAACGCCGAAGCUGUU